AGAGUUUGAUCCUGGCUCAGAUUGAACGCUGGCGGCACGCUUAACACAUGCAAGUCGAACGGCAGCGGGAGAAAGCUUGCUUUCUCGCCGGCGAGUGGCGGACGGGUGCGUAAUGCGUAGGAACUUGCCCUGAAGAGGGGGACAACCCGGGGAAACUCGGGCUAAAACCGCAUAAUACUUUUCGAAGGAAAACUGCCUCACACUUAAGUUACUUUAAAUAAGGUAACUUAAGGUGAGGUGGUGCUUUAGGAGGGGCCUACGUUGGAUUAGCUUGUUGGUGGGGUAAAGGCUCACCAAGGCUAUGAUCCAUAGCUGUUCUGAGAGGAAGAUCAGCCACACUGGGACUGAGACACGGCCCAGACUCCUACGGGAGGCAGCAGUGGGGAAUAUUGGACAAUGGGGGAAACCCUGAUCCAGCGAUGCCGCGUGUGUGAAGAAGGCCUGCGGGUUGUAAAGCACUUUUAAUGGGGAGGAAUAGUUCCAUGUUAAUAGCGUGGAGCAGUGACGUUACCCAUAGAAUAAGCACCGGCAAACUCUGUGCCAGCAGCCGCGGUAAUACAGAGGGUGCGAGCGUUAAUCGGAAUGACUGGGCGUAAAGGGCACGUAGGCGGUUGGACAAGUUAGAUGUGAAAUAUCAGGGCUUAACCUUGGUGCUGCAUCUAAAACUGUUUAACUAGAGUUCACUAGAGGGAAGCGGAAUUUCCGGUGUAGCGGUGAAAUGCGUAGAUAUCGGAAGGAACAUCAGUGGCGAAGGCGGCUUUCUGGAGUUGAACUGACGCUAAGGUGCGAAAGCGUGGGGAGCGAACGGGAUUAGAUACCCCGGUAGUCCACGCUGUAAACGAUGAGUACUAGCUGUUGGAAUGCGACGACAUUUUAGUAGCGUAGUUAACGCGAUAAGUACUCCGCCUGGGGAUUACGGCCGCAAGGCUAAAACUCAAAGGAAUUGACGGGGGCCCGCACAAGCGGUGGAACAUGUGGUUUAAUUCGAUGCGACGCGAAGAACCUUACCUACUCUUGACAUCUAUGGAACAUCUGAGAGAUCAGUUGGUGCUGGAAACAGAACCAUAAGACAGGUGCUGCAUGGCUGUCGUCAGCUCGUGUCGUGAGAUGUUGGGUUAAGUCCCGUAACGAGCGCAACCCUUGUCCUUAGUUGCCAGCACAUUAUGGUGGGGACUCUAAGGAGACUGCCGGUGAUAAGCCGGAGGAAGGUGGGGAUGACGUCAAGUCAUCAUGGCCUUUAUGAGUAGGGCUACACACGUGUUACAAUGGGCAGUACAGAGGGAGGCCAAGCCGUGAGGUGGAGCGGAACUCAGAAAACUGUUCGUAGUCCGGAUUGAAGUCUGCAAUUCGACUUCAUGAAGUUGGAAUCGCUAGUAAUCGCGAAUCAGAACGUCGCGGUGAAUACGUUCCCGGGCCUUGUACACACCGCCCGUCACACCAUGGGAGUGGGUUGCAAAAGAAGUGGGUAGCUUACCAUUGGGCGCUCACCACUUUGUGAUUCAUGACUGGGGUGAAGUCGUAACAAGGUA
rnacentral:rRNA from 1 species